UGAGGAAUAUUGGUCAAUGGACGCAAGUCUGAACCAGCCAAGUAGCGUGCAGGAUGACGGCCCUCCGGGUUGUAAACUGCUUUUAGUUGGGAAUAAAGGGGCUCGUGAGCCCCGUAUUGUAUGUACCAUCAGAAAAAGGACCGGCUAAUUCCGUGCC
rnacentral:rRNA from 1 species